AAGGUUGUUUCCAACAAGUCCGGUACAGUCAAGAUAUAACAAUAUUGUUACAACCUUGUGUCGUCAACCUUGUAACAUUCAUGUUAUAUCAUGACUGUAUCAGACUUGUUAGAACAACCUU